UACGUAGGGUGCGAGCGUUGUCCGGAAUUACUGGGCGUAAAGAGCUCGUAGGUGGUUUGUCGCGUUGUUCGUGAAAACUCACAACUCAAUUGUGGGCGUGCGGGCGAUACGGGCAGACUGGAGUACUGCAGGGGAGACUGGAAUUCCUGGUGUAGCGGUGGAAUGCGCAGAUAUCAGGAGGAACACCCGUGGCUAAGGCGGCUCUCUAGUACGGUACUGACGCUGAGACGCGAAAGCGUGGGGAGCGAACAGG
rnacentral:rRNA from 1 species